AAAAAAUAAAAUAAUUCUGCAGUAAUGGAGCCAAAAGCCUGACCUUGCCAGCCAUACCACCAUUUGCACCAUCAGCACCUGCUGUGACAGUCCCUGAACCAAGACAAGAUGAAAGAGAACUCCGGCUCUACCAGAUGCUGGAAGAGAUAAAGGGUCAAGUCAGGCAGAAUACGCUCCUCCUUCAGGCUAUUUUGCAAAGAGAGAAUGCAGCUGAAGUUGUGAAUGAGGAGUUUCAGUUUCCAUUAAGGAGCAUGACAGGCAUAAAAGAUCUGGAGGAUAGGCUGUCAAACAGAGACACACAACGUUCUCUAACAAGAUAUCUUACCAGCUUGGGUGGAACAUCUGCCAAAGACAUUGUCCACAGGAUUAUGAGAGAAAUAAUGACCAAGGGAGAGGACAGAAGAGCCCAUUUUCUACAAUUUUGCUAGCAAAAGUUGUCAUAGAUGCAGCCAAAAAACAAGGAGCAAAAGUGGUGGAAGCCGAGGAAAAAAUAAAAACCUGGCUGAAGUGUAGUGGAGACCGAAAUGGAGGAAGAAAAAAAAGAGCAACAGAAAAAGAAAAGCAGAUGCCUCCCCCUCAAGCAGAUUCCAGCAGCUGUGAAAGUGAAUGAGUAUAUGCUGCUGCUACUUCUCCUCCGCUCCGUCUUCAUCAUCAGAGCCACUCAGUGGGUUUUUUUUGGCCUUGUUCUGCAUUUUCUUUGCUGCCUUUUUUGUCACUUUUUGGUUCCUUGUUGAUU